rnacentral:rRNA from 1 species
GACACGCUGGCGACGUGCUUAACACAUGCAAGUCGAACGGAGAUUAUUAAUGAAGCUUGCGAUUUAUAAUCUUAGUGGCGACGGGGUGAGUAACGCGUGGGCAACCUACCCAUAAGCGGGGGAUAACAGUUGGAAACGACUGCUAAUACCGCAUAAGCUAUAGAGGUCGCAUGACCUAAAUAGUAAAGGUGGCAUUUAAAGAUGCUAUCACUUAUGGAUGGGCCCGCGUCUGAUUAGCUAGUUGGUGGGGUAGUGGCCUACCAAGGCAACGAUCAGUAGCCGGCCUGAGAGGGUGGACGGCCACACUGGGACUGAGACACGGCCCAGACUCCUACGGGAGGCAGCAGUGGGGAAUAUUGCGCAAUGGGGGAAACCCUGACGCAGCGACGCCGCGUGAGCGAAGAAGGCCUUAGGGUCGUAAAGCUCUGUUGUAAGGGACGAAUGUUUAUCUGACGAACAGUCAGAUAAAGUGACGGUACCUUACCAGCAAGCCCCGGCUAACUACGUG